rnacentral:rRNA from 1 species
AGGGUUCGAUUCUGGCGUCAGGAUGAACGCUAGCGGCAGGCCUAAUACAUGCAAGUCGUACGGUAAAUGGCCCCUUCGGGGGCAUGAGAGUGGCGGACGGGUGCGUAACGCGUAUGCAACCACGCCCCCCUCUCCGGGAUAGCCGGUGGAAACGCCGGAUAAGUACCGGGUGCGCCCCUGUGGAGGCAUCUCCAUGCGGGCAAGGCGGAGACGCGGAGGGGACGGGCAUGCGUCCCAUUAGAUUGUAGCGGGGUGACGGCCCACCUAGUCGACGAUGGGUAGGGGAUCUGAGAGGACGGUCCCCCACACUGGUACUGAGACACGGACCAGACUCCUGCGGGAGGCAGCAGUAAGGGAUAUUGGGCAAUGGGGGGCAACCCUGACCCAGCCCCAUGCCGCGUGAGGGAAGUAGGCCCUACGGGUCGUGAACCUCUUUUAUUCGGGGACAAUGGCGGCGUCGGGAACGCCGUUUGAGGGUACCGAAGGAAUAAGCGUCGGCUAACUCCGUGCCAGCAGCCGC